rnacentral:rRNA from 1 species
UACGUUCCCGGACCUUGUACACACCGCCCCGUCAAGCCAUGGAAGGCCCGGGGGGUACCUGAAGAUGGUGACUUUAAUGGGAGCUGUCUAAGGUAAAAACUGGUGACUGGGGCUAAGUCGUAACAAGGUACCC